UGUGGUGUAGCGGUGAAAUGCUUAGAUAUCACACAGAACACCGAUUGCGAAGGCAGCACACUAAGUCAUUAUUGACGCUGAGGCACGAAAGUGUGGGGAUCAAACAGGAUUAGACACCCUGGUAGUCCACACUGUAAACGAUGAUAACUCGCUGUCGGCGAUACACAGUCGGUGGCCAAGCGAAAGCAUUAAGUUAUCCACCUGGGGAGUACGACCGCAAGGUUGAAACUCAAAGGAAUUGACGGGGGCCCGCACAAGCGGAGGAACAUGUGGUUUAAUUCGAUGAUACGCGAGGAACCCUACCCGGGCUCGAACGGUGCAUGAAUAUACGAGAGAUUGUAUAGUCCUUCGGGACAUGUAUCGAGGUGCUGCAUGGUUGUCGUCAGCUCGUGCCGUGAGGUGUCGGCUUAAGUGCCAUAACGAGCGCAACCCUUGUCAUUAGUUGCCAUCAGGUCAAGCUGGGGACUUUAAUGAGACUGCCACCGUAAGGUGUGAGGAAGGGGGGGAUGACGUCAAAUCAGCACGGCCCUUAUGUCCGGGGCGACACACGUGUUACAAUGGGAGGUACAGAGGGCAGCUAUCCGGUGACGGAAUGCUAAUCUCCAAAACCUUUCUCAGUUCGGAUUGGAGUCUGCAACUCGACUCCAUGAAGGUGGAUUCGCUAGUAAUCGCGCAUCAGCCAUGGCGCGGUGAAUACGUUCCCGGGCCUUGUACACACCGCCCGUCAAGCCAUGGAAGCUUGGGGUGCCUGAAGUUCGUGACCGCAAGGAGCGACCUAAGGCAAAANCAGGUAANCUGGGGCUAAGUCGUAANCAAGGUAACCCGAAAGGGGCGAAUUCGUAACUCNC
rnacentral:rRNA from 1 species